AGAGUUUGAUCCUGGCUCAGGACGAACGCUGGCGGCGCGCCUAACACAUGCAAGUCGAACGAGCGAGAGAGAGCUUGCUUUCUCGAGCGAGUGGCGAACGGGUGAGUAACGCGUGAGGAACCUGCCUCAAAGAGGGGGACAACAGUUGGAAACGACUGCUAAUACCGCAUAAGCCCACGACCCGGCAUCGGGUAGAGGGAAAAGGAGCAAUCCGCUUUGAGAUGGCCUCGCGUCCGAUUAGCUAGUUGGUGAGGUAACGGCCCACCAAGGCGACGAUCGGUAGCCGGACUGAGAGGUUGAACGGCCACAUUGGGACUGAGACACGGCCCAGACUCCUACGGGAGGCAGCAGUGGGGAAUAUUGCACAAUGGGGGAAACCCUGAUGCAGCGACGCCGCGUGGAGGAAGAAGGUCUUCGGAUUGUAAACUCCUGUUGUUGAGGAAGAUAAUGACGGUACUCAACAAGGAAGUGACGGCUAACUACGUGCCAGCAGCCGCGGUAAAACGUAGGUCACAAGCGUUGUCCGGAAUUACUGGGUGUAAAGGGAGCGCAGGCGGGAAGACAAGUUGGAAGUGAAAUCCAUGGGCUCAACCCAUGAACUGCUUUCAAAACUGUUUUUCUUGAGUAGUGCAGAGGUAGGCGGAAUUCCCGGUGUAGCGGUGGAAUGCGUAGAUAUCGGGAGGAACACCAGUGGCGAAGGCGGCCUACUGGGCACCAACUGACGCUGAGGCUCGAAAGUGUGGGUAGCAAACAGGAUUAGAUACCCUGGUAGUCCACACCGUAAACGAUGAUUACUAGGUGUUGGAGGAUUGACCCCUUCAGUGCCGCAGUUAACACAAUAAGUAAUCCACCU
rnacentral:rRNA from 1 species